GACGAACGCUGGCGGCGUGCCUAAUACAUGCAAGUCGAACGCAGUGGGGACGGGUGAGUAACACGUGGGUAACCUCCCAUCACAGGGGAUAACACUUGGAAACAGGUGCUAAACCGAUACUGAUUGAUGGAGCCGCGGUGCAUUCGCCUGUUGGUGGGGUAACGGCUCACCAAGGCCACGAUGCAUAGCCGACCUGAGAGGGUGAUAGGCCACACUGGGACUGAGACACGGCCCAGACUCCUACGGGAGGCAGCAGUAGGGAAUCUUCGGCAAUGGACGAAAGUCUGACCGAGCAACGCCGCGUGAGUGAAGAAGGUUUUCGGGUCGUAAAACACUGUUGUUAGAGAAGCGGUAUCUAACCAAAAAGCCACGGCUAACUACGUGCCAGCAGCCGCGGUAAUAC
rnacentral:rRNA from 1 species